rnacentral:rRNA from 1 species
GAAGGCCUUCGGGUUGUAAAGCACUUUAAGCAGGGAGAAAAAGUUGUAAGUUAAUACCUUACAACCGUGAUGUUACCUGCAGAAUAAGCACCGGCUAAUUCCGUGCCAGCAGCCGCGGUAAUUCGGAAGGUGCAAGCGUUAAUCGGAAUUACUGGGCGUAAAGCGCGCGUAGGUGGUUUGUUAAGUUGGAUGUGAAAGCCCUGGGCUCAACCUAGGAACUGCAUCCAAAACUAACUCACUAGAGUACGAUAGAGGGAGGUAGAAUUCAUAGUGUAGCGGUGGAAUGCGUAGAUAUUAUGAAGAAUACCGGUGGCGAAGGCGGCCUCCUGGAUCUGUACUGACACUGAGGUGCGAAAACGUGGGUAGCGAACAGGAUUAGAUACCCUGGUAGUCCACGCCGUAAACGAUGACAACUAGCUGUUGGGAGACAAUGUCUUUCAGUGGCGCAGCUAACGUUU